CUGGCAGGCAGACUGCCUGCAAGGAGGGCUGGGUGCAUCGUUUGUACUUAGGGGAAUUAGCAAGUAAAAGCAUCUGGGAGAUCUCAGUCUAGCAAAGCAUUCAAGUACCUGUUAAAAUUUAAUCAAAUCAAUAGUUUGUUGACUUUGGUGGAACUAAUUAUGUGCCUCAUUUUCAGGAUGUUUUUAAGUGCUUGGCUGGAUUCAUGUUUGAAAUAUAAGUUAGUACUGAGUUUUGUGUAUUCUAAUGCAGGUAAGUGUGGAGAAAACAGAAGGCAAUACCACCCCUAACAUGAAUGCUACUAAACUUGUUUUGGAAGAAUCAGGUAAUUGCAGUUCAAGGUGGAAAGCUAGCCAUUUGUUUUGCAUGAGAACAUGUUUUACAGUUUCCUCUCCUAGCUCCCUUUAGGACACUGCCAUUAUAGUAUUUUAUUUACCUUGCCCAUCUCCAAGACCCUUCUACUUAUUUCCUCCCUUGUUUUACUGUUCUGGGAACUGGAGUUAAAAGCAAAACAGACCCUUGGAUCUGCAGCAAGCUGGAUUAACUGGGAUAAGCAGCCCUCCCUCUCCUCCCCUGCUCUGCUGUUUGCAGCUGAGUGAUAACAUCAACCAGCCCUUGUUCCUUGCACUGUCCCAUGUGUUUUUUCUUUCUGCUUUUUUUUUUUAACCUGUGACUGGCUUUAAUUCCACAUGCGCCAGUGAACAGCAGCUGCUAAUGCUUGAUCUAACCACUAUGAGAGAAAAGCUUUUACACAGCCUGCAACCUGAGCUUCUGCAAACACAAUUCAAAACUCCAGCUGGUCAAGGUGCACCUCUGCUCACAUUUCCUUUUAUCAGAGGGCUGCAGGGGAUCGUUCUGGGCAGAUUAUUUACUCUCCCCUGUAUGCAGCCUUGCAUUUCAUAUUGGAGCUUGACACCCAGUAACUAAACAGAUAAAUAGUCUUGAGUAAAAAAAAUACUUGCUUUUUGUAGGAUAUACUUAGAUUAUUAGGGGAUCACACACUGUUUGUUUAUUUUAAUAAGCAGGCAGGAGCCAAGACGUGGAUGCUUGUCCGCACCAAAACUCUCUCCCUGUUUAUUUUCAAUCCUUUUUGCCAGCAUAGCUGAGAAUCCAACAUGAGUGAAAAUAAGAAUGUCAGGCUCCAAAUUCCUCAAGGAAGAAAUUUGGCAGAGGACAUCAAGACCAGGCCAUUUUGAGCAAAUAAAAGAACCUAAAGCAAGA